UAACAUGUUAAUACAUUGUCCUAUGAUCCUAAGUCCUAAUUUAAUAUCUAUCCAACCCUUUCUAAAUAUCUUACAACAUUAAUAUACCAAUAUAGGUUAUACUCGAGCCCAAACGACUCAGUAUCUAUCUUAAUAAAGUAAAUCGGAUCGUAUAUAAUAGUGCUUAUCGAAUCACAACACCGAGAUAUCUAUACACAUCCGUCGACGAAAAGAUUAUGGAUUGAUUCUGCAAUAUACCUCAGAAAGAUACAUGAUAUGAAAAAUGUAUUAUUCAAAAAAAGAAGAAAAUGAGACAUUGAACCAUCCAAAAUUAUAUUACAAGUAGCUUGAUGUGCAUAUUGGGCAACUAUACUAGAAAUGUCUUCAUCACAAGAAAAAAGUAAUGGCUCAUUACUAUUAUUUAGAAAAAUAUAAAUUGGCCUACCGUUUAAAGCUUAUAACAAGAUAGAAAUAAGAAUAUCGUCUACAAUGUUG